UGUAAUGUACAUGGGUGUCUAUACCUCCUGCAGUAACUAUCAUUCCUUCACCGGCGAUAACUUCUGUUCCUGCACCGACUACAAGAUCCGGUGAAACGCCGUUCAUUAUAUCAGGGUUACCGGCUUUGCCUAUUCCGGCGAUCUUUCCGUCUUUUAUUCCGAUAUCCGCUUUUACAACACCCCAGUAAUCAAGAAUAAGGGCGUUGGUUAUGAGUGUGUCAAGGGCACCGCCUGCAUUUGUGAUGUCAGACUUCUGACCCAUUCCGUCACG
rnacentral:sRNA from 1 species